CCGGGUGCAGCCGUUGGUGCCGCGAGCGGCAGGUGGAGGCAGGUGCCAAGUGGAGCUGCAGUGUGAUUGACGUUGCGCGGUGCUUCAUCUUUAUUUCAUGCGACGAGGAGGUGGGAGGGUGGAGAUUGCUUGAAGUGCCUGGCUAGAGACAGAACGUGAUUUAUCACUGUUCAUUUGUCUGGAGGGUUACGCGGCCCAUAUAUAAUUCAGAAAAAUGUUUAAAAAAUAAGGAUCUGUUGUCUUUAAAAUCACUUGGCACUCAAGUCUGUUGGCUUAAUCUAAUUUCUGUGAUACAUAAAUGCACUGCUGUGCAUUUCAUUUUUAUUCUGUGUGUACAGUAUAAACAAUAUGCUUAAAAGGAACCGAGAAAGUGUGUAUAAAUAGUACUGAUAAAACCAAG
rnacentral:lncRNA from 1 species